CCUCUAUGCCCUUGUCCAGAUCAGCAAUAAAGAGAUUUCAAUGACCAGGCCCCAGUCCUGAGCUCUGGGGACACCCCUGGAUGUGACUCCAUUCCUCAGCUGCUCUGAGUGCCAGGACAUGUCUGAGGGAAAUAGUGGGUGGAGGUAGGGACAAAGUGUUUUUGAUUGUCAGCCAUGAAGGCUCUUGAUUUUCAUAUCUGUUCAGACUGCAUUAGGAGGUGCUGGGGAUCAAUAUCAAUUGGACAUUGCUGAUCUCAAUCUUUAAACAGGAAGAGAAAACUUAACAGGACAAAACUAUUCUCUCUUCAUUGUUUUCAGUAUAUUAGAUUCACACUGAAUACACUUCUGAAAUCUGUCUAAUUAACCACAGAAGAACUGAAGACUUGAAUUAUUCCCAUGGGCUUCUCUUGUUUGGGUGUUUUGAACAAAUGUUUAUGAGCUUUUCUCACUGAAUUCCUGAAUUGAAGAACUCAAGAAAGAAGAGGCCUGUGGAGUAGUAAAAUCCAUCAGCAACCUCCAAGUGGCUGAGGAUGCAUCCUCAUCAGAGCAGCAAUGAGCAGAAAUGGGCACAGCUUUGUGGCUGCCCCAGCUCUGGGAUGGGCCCUGGGCCUGGAGCAGGAGCAGCUCUGCAGGGCCCCAAGGCCGGGGCUCUUGUGCUGGCCUGGGCAGAUGGGAUGGCAGCAGGGGCUGCAGAGCUCUCAGCACCUGAGCCCGAGGGGAGCAGGGCAGCCAGGGAGCCUCCUUGUGCCUUGGCCAAGCCCCUUCCCCCAUGGCUGGGGCUGAGUCCUGGCUGAGCUGCAGCUGCUGCUGUGCCCUUGGCAGGGGCUGAGGCCGUGGGGCCAGUGGCCAGAGCAGCCUGGCCUGAGCAGAGCUGUGGGGCCAGAGCCGGCUGGGCUGUGCUGGGGAGAGGCCCUUGGUGCUGCACAGAGCUCAGGGCAGCUGGCAGAGCUUGCAGGGAGCUGGGCUGGGCUGGGAGAGGCUGACAGAGAAACCAUCAGUGACCAUCUCAGCCUGGCUGAGCGUGCAGGGGCAGGACUCAGCCCAGGCCUUGUGGGGCAGGGCCAGCGCCUGUGCAAGGCAUGGAAAACAGGCAAUGCCUGAGAGAUGAGGCUGCUCUGUGCCCUUGGGGGCAUGGACAGAGCAGGGAGGGGCUCCAGGACAUUUGUCAGCGCCAGCCUCUGUCCCCAGCCCUUGGCUGCCCUGGCUGCUGAGCCCAGCUUUGGCCUGGGCUGAGUUUGGCUGUGGCCCAGCUCCAUCUUCCUGCAUGCUCAGGGCCUGUUCCCAGCCAUGGCCAGCCCUGGCCGGCCUCUCUGCUGGCCCAGAGGCCGGCAGAGCCCGGGGCAGGGCUGUCUGUGCAGCCCCACAGGUGCCACGGGCUGGGCAGGAGCUGGCAGAGGCUGCCCAGCAGGGAGGCCAUGGGGCACAGAGCCCCAAGGCUGCCGUGGGCACCACGGCACAGGGGCCGUUCCCAGCCGCAAUGCUCCUGUCCUGGGCUGGGCCUGCACAGGGGCUGUGGCACCAUGGCUGGGCCAGCACAGGGCCACAAAGGGGCCACGCAGCCACUGCCGGGGCUGGCAGCAAGGCCGGGCACAGACAAGGAAUUGCUGAGCGUGGCCUGCGCUGGCCAGGGCUGACUGUGCCAAAGGCAGAGCUCAGCUGCCCUUGCUGGCUGCAGGAACAGUCAAGAGCCCAAAGAGCCUCCAUGGCUGUACUGGAGACCAAGGCUGGAGGAGAGAAAUGCACGGCUGCUGUGGGAUGGGCAGGGCAUGGAAUUCCAGCAGAUGCCUCAGCUUACAAGGUGCUCUGCUCUCCCUCAGCUCCUCUCUGAGAGAGCCAAUCCCAGCUCAGCACCUCAGGGUACUGGGGCCCUAAAGGAGAACUGCCUGUUCAUGGGCACACAACUGAUGGAAAGGGGCACAGGUUUUAAUAUCUGUUCGUCUCAUAAGAUAUAAGCAAAAGUUUAUUACUGGGUCACUUAAGUCUGUCCAGUCUUUCUUCUUUAAGUUGAACACAAGAAAGGUGGUGGAUUAUUUCCCCCCCUGUCUCUCAGGUCACCUUUUGUUCUCAUGGCUAUGUGUGAUUUCCCAGUUCCAUCAGAUUGUAUUAGAUCCCCGAUUGCUACAUUUUAAAUAGACUUAGAUGUGGUUUAAUUGCAUUCUGCCCGCUAGUUUCUUUUCCUGCAGGAUUAUUCCCACCAGCUUGUCUGCAUCACUGAAAGUGAAAGGAUAGUUGUGCCAAUUCGGGCCAUUGGUGGCCGAGCUAUCCUGAACUUCCCUGACCAGCUGGACUUCUCGGCCUGUCCGGUCAAGUACAGCACCCAGAAGACUCUGCUGGUUCGCAAUGUCGGUAACCGGGCAGCUCAUUACCAGCUGAGCACCCAGAGUCCUUUCUCCGUGGUUCCGACCACGGGAACUCUGGGCGCUGGCGACAGCAUGCGGGUGACAGUGGGAUUUCACCCGCUGACGACCGGUGACCAUUCCGGGUGGCUGUGCUGCAACACCGGUGAAGAAACUAUCCACACAGAGCUCCACGGAGAAGCUGGAGCUGUCCAUGUUGGGUUGAGCACAAAUUUCAUGGAGGUUGAGACGACUUUCAUCACCAUGUCCAACCACGCAACCAUGUUCAUUAAAAACAGGAGUAACGUCACAGCCCACUUCCAGUGGAAGGCUUUUCCUACUGAGGAAGAAGAGAAUAAAGAGAAGAGGAGGUUGGUC